GAUAAACGCUGGCGGCGUGCUUAGCACAUGCAAGUCGAACGGAGUUUUUCCUUCGGGAGAAACUUAGUGGCGGACGGGUGAGUAACGCGUGGGUAACCUGCCCUGUACAGGGGGACAACAGCUGGAAACGGCUGCUAAUACCGCAUAAGCACUUAGCACUGCAUGGUGCAUAGGGAAAAGGAGCAAUCCGGUACAGGAUGGACCCGCGUCUGAUUAGCCAGUUGGCAGGGUAACGGCCUACCAAAGCGACGAUCAGUAGCCGAUCUGAGAGGAUGUACGGCCACAUUGGGACUGAGACACGGCCCAGACUCCUACGGGAGGCAGCAGUGGGGAAUAUUGCACAAUGGAGGAAACUCUGAUGCAGCGACGCCGCGUGAGUGAAGAAGUAUUUCGGUAUGUAAAGCUCUAUCAGCAGGGAAGAAAAUGACGGUACCUGACUAAGAAGCACCGGCUAAAUACGUG
rnacentral:rRNA from 1 species